rnacentral:tRNA from 1 species
AGACAAAUAACUAAACAUAAGUAUGUCAAUUACACUGAUAAAAUGAUUAAAACUAUCUUUGUCUU